rnacentral:rRNA from 1 species
CGGAGAAGGCUAUGUUAGCCGGGCGACGGUUGUCCCGGUUUAAGCAUGUAGGCUGGUUGUCCAGGCAAAUCCGGAUAAUCAAGGCUGAGGUGUGAUGACGAGGCACUACGGUGCUGAAGUAACAAAUGCCCUGCUUCCAGGAAAAGCCUCUAAGCAUCAGGUAACAUCAAAUCGUACCCCAAACCGACACAGGUGGUCAGGUAGAGAAUACCAAGGCGCUUGAGAGAACUCGGGUGAAGGAACUAGGCAAAAUGGUGCCGUAACUUCGGGAGAAGGCACGCUGGUGUGUAGGUGAAGCCCCUGCGGGUGGAGCUGAGACCAGUCGAAGAUACCAGCUGGCUGCAACUGUUUAUUAAAAACAC